CACACAGACACACAUAAUUACAACAGCGAUAAUUUAUUAAUCGACGGAAAAAUAGAAAUAUUGCGAAUCGAACAGCGUGUGCGCAUAAUAAUAACACUCUCGCGUUCGGAUCGCCGCAAUCAGAAUCCGAAACGCGAUAACGAAUACACAAUAUUGUGAUGCUGAACGACGCGUAAUUUCGGCGAGUCUCGGCACUGCGCGCAAUGGUUUUAAUUCGGUCGAUAAAAUUAUCGGAGUUAAUUUUCGGCCAAUUUUUUUCGGAGCAAAGCGGUGAUACGCCGACGAAAAAAAAAAAAGAAGAAAUUAUUACAUUAGUACGUUUCAAUCGAGCCGCGGUUGAAAUUGAAUUUAAGAACUUUCGAGCGGACGGCAAUUAUUGCCGCGCGUGGUGUGCGUUAUUAAUUUAUCGAAACGCAAAUAGAAAUAAAAAAACAUUUAGCGUUAAAAAUUCGAAACGUUAUUUUAAUAGAACACCGCACAAGUAACGUAGCGACAAAUUUUCCGGCUCGAAAAUCGACUCGUCCGUAUUCUCCGGAGACAGCGCAGGCUUUUUCCCGAAAUGUCACCGACCGAAAAACUACCGUCGUACGUAAAUAUUUAAUACAAAGGUCGCGACGCGGCUACGAAUUUCGAUUCCGACGGCGGUCCUCGGGCGGUAACAAUAACAACAAGCACAGACGUUGCCGACAAACCGCGGAUCGCAAAAACGAAAAAAACGGCCCGUAUAAUAUAAACGUUCGUGUUGUAAACCGUCGGGCGUAUUACGGAGAGAGAAAAAAAAAUGCAACGGUACGGUACGGAACACCGGCGAACGGGAUAAAAAAAAAAAUAAAAAAUAAUAUUGUUAUUCGAACGGGCAGAGGACCGGGCUUUUUGACGGACCGCGUACGCGAAAAGUAACGGAGAACAAAAAAAAUAAACACAAACGAACGGACGGCAAACUCAGCACAGCUAUUCGGUUUUCGGACGAGAGCAACGCGCAAAACGGUCGCCACGGGCGCACUGAAUGCUGUUCGUGAAUAAUUUCUGCCAGUUAACCCUUUUCGGUGCGGUUUAUUUUAUUUUUUUUUUUUUUUAUUAUUACUGUUUGUGUUGUUUUUUUUUUUCGCAGCCGACGCGAGGCUACUCCCACUCCGCCCGGG